rnacentral:tRNA from 1 species
ACUAUUUUGGCAGAUAAGUGCAGUGGAUUUAGAAUCUAUAUAUAUAGGUAAUUCUAUAAAUAGUA